AUACGAGGGGAGCAAGCGUUGUCCGAAAUAACUGGGCGUAAAGGGUACGUAGGCUUUUUUGUAUGUUUUCGGUGAAAUCCACAGGCUCAACUUGUGGCUUGCCGGAAAAACUGCAGAGAUUGAAUCCGGAAGGGGAAAGCGGAAUUCCUGGUGUAGCGGUGAAAUGCGUAGAUAUCAGGAGGAACACCAGAGGCGAAGGCGGCUUUCUGGUCCGGAAUUGACGCUGAUGUACUAAAGCGUGGGUAGCAAACAGGAUUAGAUACCCUGGUAGUCCACGCCCUAAACGAUGUACACUUGAUGUCGGGAUGUUCGAUCGUCUCGGUGUCGUAGCUAACGUGUUAAGUGUACCGCCUGGGGACUACGGUCGCAAGACUGAA
rnacentral:rRNA from 1 species